AUCGUAGCACUAUUCAUGAGGUGCGGAAACUGCGAGUUAAUCUUAAUGAUUUUGAACAAAAGAAAGUAAUUGGUAAAGGUCACUUUGGUGUUGUACAGUUAGUUAGGGAGAAAGCAACAGGCAAUGUCUUUGCACUGAAGAGCCUCAGGAAGUCUGAUAUUUUAUCACAAAAACAUGUUGCAUUUUAUGAGGAGGAAAGAGAUAUUAUGGCCAAGGCAUCCUCACCAUGGAUCACACAGUUACAAUAUGCCUUCCAGGAUGACCAACAGUUGUACUUAGUGAUGGAGUUUCACCCAGGGGGUGACUUGUUGUCCCUGCUGGAUCGUUGCGAGGGUUUGUUCUCUGAGGAAAUGUCCCGCUUUUACCUUGCAGAAAUAAUUUUAGCAGUUCAUGAUUUACACUCCAUGGGCUAUGUUCAUAGGUAAGAAAAGAUGCAUGAU